UACAGAGGUCUCAAGCGUUGUUCGGAUUCAUUGGGCGUAAAGGGUGCGUAGGUGGCGCCGUAAGUCGGGUGUGAAAUUUCGGAGCUUAACUCCGAAACUGCAUUCGAUACUGCGGUGCUUGAGGACUGGAGAGGAGACUGGAAUUCAUGGUGUAGCAGUGAAAUGCGUAGAUAUCAUGAGGAAUACCAGAGGCGAAGGCGGCUACCUGGACAAUUGCUGACGCUCAGGCACGAAAGCGUGGGGAGCAAAAGGG
rnacentral:rRNA from 1 species